rnacentral:lncRNA from 1 species
UUUCCAAAUUUUUCUUCUUUUCAUCCUAGAGGGCCUAUGUUUCAAAAAUAAUCCCACAUGCAACCACUUUAAAGCAGUCUUGCUUUUGUUAAAACAAUUCUGCCCAUUCUAUCUUCCCCUUGCCCUGCACGUGCUCCUGGCAGCACCCUCAAGGCACAGUCAAAUGGGAGCUGCUGUUAGUAAGGGAGUUCCCCAGGCUCUCUGAAAACUGGCAUCUGGGGCCUCAGAACAGAGUAUGGCUUAAAGAUGGGCAGUAAUUCCCAUGCAGGGAGCAGAGGGCAGGGUGUUGUUGUUGUUGUUGUUUUUCCUUUCCCCAGGGAAGAUAGAGCAUCGUACAGAAAUAAGAUAAGAUCUGAGGCACAAGGCACAAGAAAGGGCAGGUUGAGCACAUUUCAUAAGAGCAAAUGUGGAAAUGAUGGGCCCAGUGGCCUAUAGGGUUGGGUAAAAGACACAAGUGGCUGGCCAUAGAAAUGGCAGGGGUAAGACCUAAAACCCUCAUGUGGGCCUUGCCUGGCUCAGGUACCAUUUCCAGUUCCUCCACCAACCCCUCAAACUGAAGCCCUUGAAUUAUCUUCAUCCUUCAGAUCUCUGGGAAAGAAAUGUCUCCUGCAAGCCACCUCAGAUCCAGUUGUCAUGCACCUGUUCCCACUGUGGCCUCUGGCACUUUAUUAGCUCCUCUAAGAAAGAGGUUUUUAAACUUAAGGUUAUGACCCACUCUCAAACUGUGAAAUCAAUUCAGUGGCUCCAUCAGCAUUACAAAAAUGCCAUCAAAAGAAUAGAAGCUAUCAGAACAUGGUCCCAUGUAAUGACAAUGUGUAUUAUUUUGCAAAACUUAUUUUAGAGAUGUGCGCACACACAUUCACACGUGAAUAUGUGCAGGCUCACUGUAUAAAACAUAGUUUUGAUUAUGUCUGCUGUUCAACGUUGUGGAUAAACAUAGCUCUAAGAGACUUAGCUUGCUGACAUCUAAGCUAAUGUCUUUCCUCUCCUGCUCAUAUAAAUGGACAGGAGUAAUACAUGUUGUGUUAUCUCCAGCACAUGCUUGGACUUGGGUAUCAGAUAAAGCUGGGUUCAAAUUCUGGUUCCAUUAUUUGUAGUUGUAUAAAUUUGAGAUGAUAUCUAGAUUUUGAUAAGGAUAAUACAUUCUUUAUGAGAUAGAUGCAAAGAUUCAACAAAUCAUUGACUUGAAAAUGCUAAACAAGAUUUGUCCAGUGCAGAGAAAAGACAAAGAACACAUAGAGGUUACCAAUCAGUGGAAAGACUAAAAUAUCCAUCAGUCCAUUCAUUCAUUCAUUCAUUCAUUCACUCAUUUAUUCCUCUAUCCACUGACCCAGCAUAUUUAUUAACACCUGCUAUGUGCCAGGGAUUGUUUUAAGCACAGAACAAACUUGGUACUGAUCUCAUGGAACCUUCAGCCUACUAAGAUAAUUAAAAUACUUAACAAAUCCAAAUAAUAAAAAGUACUAUUACAAGAACAAAUAGUAAAGUUGACAGAAGACAAAAGAGAGGAACUCACAUAGAGAAAAGAGGUUUGUCUGAAGAAAUGAGAUUUAAACUGAGAUCAGAAUGAUGAGAGAGAGCCAUCCAUGCCCUGACAGAUUGGGGAAGGAAAGAGGGUAGUUUUCCAGGCAAAGAUAAUCAUGGCACAUACAAAGGGCAUAGGAGAAGAAGGUUAGCAAGUCUGAAGAACAGAGAAGAGGCCAUUGUGUCUGGAGCAUGGAGGGCAACUUUAAGUUGGGACUGUUGUGACUGGAGUGAUCACAACAGAGUGGCUGCAGUGUGGAGAAGGGAGGAAGAGGAUGGGAUAAAAGCAGGAAGACCAAUAAGUAGGUAUGUGAGGAUGAGGUAAUUGUGGGGAUGUCAGGAAGAUUGAUGUGGCUUGAAGAGGAAUGGACGGUCAUAGGGUGGGAAGCAGGGGUGAAGGCGAGGAGUCUGGAAACUUAGGCUAGAGCCUCAUUGUGAAGAAGCUUGAACACCAAGAUAAGACAUUGAAUAAGGUGUUGACUCUGAAAGAGCUCUGAAAAUUCAUGAAAUGCUACACAAAGAUGAAAUUUACAUGACAUUCACAGGGGGUGUCAGAAGGGUGAGUUAACAAACAGCUUCUCUGUUUCUGACACCCUAGAGUGAUCUAUUGACACCAAACAUGAGUUCCCUGCACCCUUGGGGACCACUCGAAACACUCCCAAACAAUAGGAUCUCCCUGCUGCAAAGUUCCUUCUGCCAAUUUAGGAGCUCAGAAUUACUGUGUAACAGCUUCCUUCUUCAGGGAACACAUGUUGAUUACCUAUUUUUUAUUCCCAGAUUUGUGAGUGAAGCAAGCCCAUGGUUGCUGUGCAUUAGCUCUCCCUAAGCUUUUAAGAGCUCAUUGCCGUCCCAAGGAUUACGAACCUCAGUGUGGUGUAGUGAGUUCAAAUCCCAGCUCUGCAUCUUACUACAAUAGCUCUCAUGUUGGAGUUUUCACCUGACUCAGCCAUACUCCAGCUGUGUUACCUUGAGCAAGUUACUUAACCCCUCUUUGCUUUGGUCUCCUCCUCUGUACAGUAGGGAUAACAUUAGUACACACCUCAUAGGGUUAUUGUGAGGUAUAAAUGACACAAUUCAUGGCAAGUUCCCAGAAGAGUGGUAGAAAUCAGCUGUUGUCAGCAGCAGCAGCAACAGUAUCCUAGCCUAAUCAAUCCUUCCAUCCAUCUUCUACUCAGGAUUAAUUACAAAUGGCUUAAUGAGAUUCAAGUUUUAUUGCAAGAACUUGGUCAAAGCAGAUUUCCAGUAUUCUGGGGCUCAUCGUGCCACUGACUACUGAAACAGACAUCCCAGGCUGGGCUUCUAAAGAACUCAGGAGGCAUCAUCUAAAACAUGGUAGCAGCUUAGGGCCCUGCACUCGGGGAAGCAGCCCAGAAGGGGAUUAGAAGAUCUGUGGAGACAGAGCUGGAGUAACUGUCUUCACCCUGCCACCUCCAUGGGGCUGUAUAACAAAAUUACAAAAGCCACCCAGGGGAUGAGUUCUGGCAUUAUCUACUUCCUUCCCUGGCUCUGCCUGGAUUCUGGAGCUCCUCUCUUUGCUGUUAACAAGCAAGUCUUCUAGGAGGUGAGCUGGAGCUUGCGUUCUUCCAGUUUCAAUCUCACAGCCUCCCUGCAUCCAGG